CUUGCAAUCCUUUGGGUUCUGAUGUGUGCUCUGGCCAUGUGGUUCCCCAGAAGGUAUCUACCAAAGGUCUUUCGGAACGACAGCUGCAGGACCCCGAACCCACAUGAUCCUGCAGCAGCCCCUGGAACGAGGCCCCACAGGUUGGGCCCAGCGUGACCCACGGGCCGCGUCGGGGACGCCCCGAGCCUAGGACGUGAGCUCCCCUCUCCGAGGAGCUGUGCCCAUGAGCACCAAGCGGCGCCUGGAGGAAGAGCAGGAGCCCUUUCGAAAACGGUUCCUUUCUGAAGAGAACGUGGCCACCCACUUCUCUCCACUCAGCCUGCACAAUGACCACUCUUACCACAGCCCCCACUCAGGAGCCCUUGCUCUGAGCUGCUUCUCUCGCACUACCCUGGGAACCUGAUCCCUGAGGCCCUCCGGCUGCUGAGGCUAGGGGACACCCCCACCCCCCACUACCCUGCAACCCAAGCUGGGGAGAUAAUGGAGCUCUGAGUGCUGAUGGGCAGUAGUUCUGCCCACCUUCCUUCUUCCCCACAACAGAGAAGACCAGCAUCCCCACUAAGGGACCAGCUGUCCUGAAUAUUCUCCAGACCAGGCCUCUGGGCCCCAGGACCUACUCUCAACAGAGGAGGACACUGACUCCCACAGAGCCCUGGGGUGGGGGGAGCAGGAGGGACAGGAGCAUGGGAAGGGAGGCAUCCCCCCCCCAGAACUGAAUAAAGAUUGCUGAGCAUAUGAAAAAAAAAAUUCUUGAAAAAAAGGAAUGGGGGAGGGAGUGGGGGAGAGAACUUUCACUUUUACCUUUAAUUUAUACUGUUGUGCAUUUUUUUUUUAAACAAAGAGCACAUGUUACUUUUUAAUAAUAACACAUUUUUCAAUGAAGUAGGGAGAAAACAUACUUCAGAUGAACUAGCUGUGCUAUCUUCAUUGUACAGAGCAGGAUUUGAAUUAAAGUGUUUUCUUUGACUAUCAUCGGGCAGAUAAAGGAUUCUCAAGGUUACUUAUCCAAAAAAUGAGAGUGAGAGAGCCAGCAGUUGACAAGAGGUGACAAGAAGGGCAUUCCUGGCUUCAGGAGAAAUACAGUCUCCGUUGGCUGUGGCCUUCUCAGUGGAGGAAGGAGGCUUCAGCGUGUGGCAGGUUGGCUGGGGCGAUUUGGUGUCUAGUCUUGUGCUUGCUUGUCCGGCUUCGGGAGAAUGACUGGGGGUGCUUAGAAAGCCUCGUGAGGUGGAGAAGGGGGGCAGCGCCAGGCAGGUCAGGAGGGCCUUCGCAGGAGGGGCUUUCGGGCUCUGGCUGAGAAACAUCGUUUACCUUUGGCCUUUCCUGUCGAGUCAGAGGGUGGCCACCAGUCACCUCCAUCCCUGCCCGAGCCUGGUGGGUGGUAGGUGGAGAGCUGAGGAAUCUCUUUGCUCUUGGAUCUGAUCUUUCAAGUCCUGGGGGCUGAGUGAGAAGCCUCACACAGAAGAAUGGUUUUGUUCAUGGCACUCUGGAGGUGCCACUUGAAAUUCCAAGCGACAGUUUUGUGUGUGUUCAUAGUAGAGAAUCUUUU